UGGAGUAUAUGCUGUGACUAUUUAAAAAUUUGUUUUUGAUCUUAUAGUACAGUACUAAUAUGCUUCCUCUUUUUUUUCUUUUUCAGCCCCUGCACUUAGCUAUAUAAUGUGCAUGAGAACUUCUUUGUCCCCUCUUUUAUGAACUCAAUCAAUGAUUUUAUUAAGUAUCAUAUUAAGUUUGAGACUUAUUCAUUAUAUAGCUGAGGUAUCAUUUUAGAUGACAUUGGCCUGGAAACAACGCUUGCCAAGUUAAUGCAACUCUAUAUUCUUCUUAUAUGACUAUAUCUAAAGGUAAUAAAUCUAUUCACAAGUAUAAAAUUUGAGCAACAAUUAUAUAUAUAUAUAUAUAUAUAUAUAUAUAUAUAUAUAUAUAUAUAUAUAUAUGUAUAUAAACAUAAAAUGGGUAACAUAGUUUAAUGAUGGAGUAUUGACUCUCUAAAUCCUCUUUCUACUUUGUGCUAAUUUAGUUUCUGUACAGUUUUCUUUCUUGAAGUUGGUGGAGCGACAUUUGCUUCUCAUUAUGCAUUCGUCGUCGUGUAUGGAAUGAAUAAAAGCGUUGACCUUGGUGGGUCAGAAGAAGAAAUUUAUCAAUUUCUAUUUUAACCCUCAAUUAAUGUGCAAGUCAGAAGGUAAGAGUUAUUAAAAAAAAUUAUUUGAUAAAGACUUUUCCAAUAGUAUGGUUGAAUUUAUGUUUUCAUGUAAUGGAAAUACAAGUACAUGAACUCUUACAAAUUUCUGUAAUCUUAUGAAAUCAAGACAAGUCAUUUAAUUAUAUUGGAUCUUGACAUUUUUUUUAAGUAGCCAUUUACAGAUUUGUAAUAAAUGAAAUUUCUCCUAUUUCUUUCUGUGUUAGAUGUUUGUUUAUUGAUAUUCUAUAAAUUUUACUUAUCA
rnacentral:lncRNA from 1 species